rnacentral:lncRNA from 1 species
AGGGAAGGUAGCCGGCACCACCGAGCGUCCCGGCCCACUUACUCCAGCCUGCAGUGAGGUCUCACCCUGAAGUUAGGGUUGCCUUCCAGAAGACAGGAUCCUUCCCUUCUCUCACUCGCCGCCGGCGCCGGGAGAGCGGCCGGGAGACGCCUCCGGGGCCAGGCUGGACAUGAGCUGCGGCUGCCGCCGGUUCUGGGACUAGGCCCCGCCAUUUUGGAUCCGCUGACAGGUCAGCGAAGUCUCUUCUUAGAGUUCCAGCGUCGUGAGGGCCUCCUGACGUUGCCAUCAAGAAUAAGGAGGAAGGGUCCUUCGGUUGGGCGAAGCGGCCUGGGCGAUGGGCUUAGUGGGAAGAAGUAAACCCAGAGGACUGAUGUGAGAGGGAGUUGGGAGGUGUGCAGGGGCCAAAGGUCAGACCCUUGUCCCCGAGGGGUGUUUCAGCUCCACCUGUGACUCGGUGGAUGCUAGAAUCUGUUUUUGUUUUUGUUUGUUUGUUUGUUUGUUUUCCCUAGGCAUAAUCUGGCCUGCAGCUCUUCUUUUUCAGACCCUUCUGCACCCUAAAGUCCUCAACAUCUGAAAGCAAAAUUAAGGAUGGUUUCAGGGUUUAGAGAGUGAAUCUUUUCAGAUUCUGUACAUCUGUCACUUCGGGGUGACUGCGUCCUAGCACAACUGAAGCGCCCCAUUAAUCCUGAAAGAUGAGCCAGCUCAGUUUGGAUUAGGUAGUCAGAAGGCAUAGAAGACUGGAGGCAGCCGCCUGAGAACCUGGCCUGUAAGAUCUUGCUUUUACAGGAUAGCUCAGCUGUCACCAGGGGUCUGCAUGUAAACACCUUUCUUUCUUUUUGAGUCAGGUUCUUUCUGUGUAGCUCUGGUUUUUCUGGAAUUCACUAUGUAGACCAGGCUGGCCUUGGAUUUACAAAGAUCCACCUCCUUCUGCCUUAAACUCUUUAGGUGUGUGUUAUGGGUAGGCAUUUACCCACUGUAACUCCCUUCUUUUUAAGGAUAUGAGGUUUGAUCCCAAGGCAGCCACUCUUUUGUGACACAUUUGAUUGAGAGUUAAGAGGGGUUUGAAUACUGAUAAGGCUUGGUCCUGGUGGUCUAUUUAUUUUUAGUAGGUGAAAAAUCAUGAAAAGGGCUGGAGGGAGACGUAGCUGGUUGAGUGUUUGCCUUGCAUGUAUGGAGUCCUUGAGUUCAGUCCCUAGCACUUCAUAAACUGGGCAUGUUGGUCCACAUCUGUAAUUAUUCCCUACUUGGGAGAUGGAAACACGAGGGUUAGCCCUGACAUUCAAGGUUAUCCUCAGCUACUUCUUGAGUUAGAGGCCAGCCUGGGCCAAGUGAGACACUGUCUUUAGCAAAGAGACAAGUUAGGAGAGUUGUUCUGCUCCUUGUGGUAGGGUCAGGGAAACAGAGUGAAUGGUAGGGCACAACCCGAAAGAGUGUAGUUUAUGGCCCAGUAGUGACCUUUGACAUUGCUGUGUCAUAAACUGGUGAAGUCCUUCGAAGGUAAAGAGUACGUUAGAGAUGAGAGACAAUGUAGUGUUUCCUGAGUGCAGAAGCUCAUAUCAAGAACCCUAGGUACAAGUAAGCCUUAUGGAGUAUAUAAACGGGAAAACCUGCUCUGGGAUCGCUCAGUUUACACAGAGUCUUGCAGUAGUGGGGAUGGGACCCUAGGGUCCCAUAUGGUAUAGUCAGGCAGUCUACCACCGAGCUAUACCCAGAGCUAGUGCGCUCUCUCUCUCUCUCUCUCUCAGUUGUCCUGACUGGUCUAGAAUUUGCUCUGUAGCCCUUGAACUUGUGAUCCUUCCUGAGCUGCUGGGUUUACAGGCCUACAGUCCUAGAUCUUCCUGUAUAUUUCUGAAAAGUAGUGACAUAUGCUAGGUGUAGUGACAGACAUUUGUAAUCUCAGUACUUUCAGGAAGUCCUUCCUAUGAGGAAGGACAUUUUGAGUUUAAGACCAGUCUUCCUACAUAACGAGGGC